rnacentral:rRNA from 1 species
CGGACGGGUGAGUAAUACAUAGGAAUCUGCCCAGUAGCGGGGGACAACUUGGGGAAACUCAAGCUAAUACCGCAUACGCCCUACGGGGGAAAGCAGGGGAUCUUCGGACCUUGCACUAUUGGAUGAGCCUAUGUCAGAUUAGCUUGUUGGUGGGGUAACGGCCUACCAAGGCGACGAUCUAUAGCUGGUCUGAGAGGACGAUCAGCCACACUGGGACUGAGACACGGACCAG